GCGCCUUGCCAGCCCGCUCAGAACUUAAAUGAAUUGACGGGGCCGCACAAGCGGUGGAGUAUGUGGUUUAAUUCGAUGCAACGCGAAGAACCUUACCUGGUCUUGACAUCCCGGAGACCCUUAGGAAACUAGGGGGUGCUUCCAUCUGGAAGAAUCUGGAGACAGGUGCUGCAUGGCUGUCGUCAGCUCGUGUCGUGAGAUGUUGGGUUAAGUCCCGUAACGAGCGCAACCCUUGCCUUUAGUUGCCAGCAGUUCGGCUGGGCACUCUAAAGGGACUGCCGGUGUUAAACCGGAGGAAGGUGGGGAUGACGUCAAGUCCUCAUGGCCUUUAUGACCAGGGCUACACGCGUACUACAAUGGCCGAUACAAAGGGCAGCGACACUGCGAGGUGAAGCCAAUCCCGUAAAAUCGGUCUCAGUCCGGAUUGGAGUCUGCAACUCGACUCCAUGAAGUUGGAAUCGCUAGUAAUCGUGGAUCAGCAUGCCACGGUGAAUACGUUCCCGGGCCUU
rnacentral:rRNA from 1 species